AGCGAACGCUGGCGGCAGGCCUAACACAUGCAAGUCGAGCGGGCGUCGCAAGACGUCAGCGGCAGACGGGAGAGUAACACGUGGGAACGUACCCUUCGGUUCGGAAUAACCCAGGGAAACUUGGACUAAUACCGGAUAAGUCCGUAAGGAGAAAGAUUUAUCGCCGAAGGAUCGGCCCGCGUCCGAUUAGCUAGUUGGUGGGGUAAUGGCCCACCAGGGCGACGAUCGGUAGCUGGUCUGAGAGCAUGAUCAGCAUCACUGGGACUGAGACACGGCGCAUGCUCCGACGGAAGGCGGGAGUGGGGAAUAUUGUACGAUGGGCGCAAGCCUGAUCCAGCCAUGCCGCGUGAGUGAAUAAGGCCCUAGGGUUGUAAAGCACUAUCGGCGGGGAAGAUAAUGACGGUACCCGCAAAAGAAGCCCCGGCUAACUUCGUGCCAGCAGCCGCCGUAA
rnacentral:rRNA from 1 species